UGGAGAUCUCUAUGUACCUGAGGCAUUCUGAAGGUGUAUACUUGCAUUUUGGAUUGAACUUGUCCAUUUAACCAACUGAUUGGAAAGGGAGGUGAAGCCAAUUCUCUGUGCUGCAGUUCAGUGGUAGAGAAUGCAGGACACAGGGUAGAGGAAAAGAAAGGUGAUGGAUUUGCCGACAGAGAUUUCACAGCCCUGGGCGAACUUCUAAGUGCUUGUUACUGAGCAAGAACAGCUAAGAAAGCAAACAUCUUUCAGAAUUAGCAAGUAUCACUGCUCAUUCAUCUGAGGAAUUGAUUACUACGCUUUUGCCAUAACUAUGGAAAAGAGCAAAACUGGUCUUACUCUAACUGCAGAAUCGAACUGAACUGUUGAUUGAUCUUUUCUUCUUUUUCUUCAGGACCUUUUUGCCUCUUCAGAAGAAUAAAACUCAGCAACGUGAAGUCCAUGUACCAGAAGCAGAACCAGAAGCUGAAGCAGAAGGGAUCCCUGAUUUGCAGACUGAAUAUUCAGGAUCUUUUGAGCAACUCAAAGAAGAUAUGGUGGCAGAGUAGAGGAAAGCUCAAAUUAUUCGUGGCUGACACAGGGAUAUUAUCCUCUGCAUAAUUGUUGUGUGUUGAAGAGAUGGAAGGUGAACAAAGUACAAAUGGUAUGCAUGAGUAUGAGAGAAAGCAUAUGUGGUGUAUGUUUUUCUAAAUCUUAAAAGAAUGACUUUAUGCUUAUGUUAACCAUACAAUUAUUUAAAAUAAUGCAGGCAGAAAAAUUCGUUUAUCUGGAAA